rnacentral:rRNA from 1 species
CGGAGGGUGCAAGCGUUAUCCGGAUUUAUUGGGUUUAAAGGGUCCGUAGGCGGGCCCGUAAGUCAGUGGUGAAAUCUCACAGCUUAACUGUGAAACUGCCGUUGAUACUGCGGGUCUUGAGUGUAGUUGAGGUAGCUGGAAUGAGUAGUGUAGCGGUGAAAUGCAUAGAUAUUACUCAGAACACCAAUUGCGAAGGCAGGUUACCAAGUUACAACUGACGCUGAGGGACGAAAGCGUGGGGAGCGAACAGGAUU